GCAUACAGCCAUACCAGUCUGAAAGUGCCUGAUCUCGUCAGAUCUCAGAAGUCAUGCAGACUUGGGCCUGAUUAGUACUUGUAUGGGAGACCAACUAAGAAUCUCAGGUGCCGUAAGUU
rnacentral:rRNA from 1 species